rnacentral:tRNA from 1 species
UGGAGCAAAGGGUUAAGCACUCAACUGCUAACUGAAAGGCUGGUGGUUCAAAUCCACCCA